rnacentral:rRNA from 1 species
UGGCGGCGUGCUUAACACAUGCAAGUCGAGCGAUGAAACUUCUCGGAAGUGGAUUAGCGGCGGACGGGUGAGUAACACGUGGGUAACCUGCCUUGUAGAGAGGAAUAGCCAUUCGAAAGGAUGAUUAAUACCUCAUAAUAUUGUAGCUUCGCAUGGAGCAACAAUCAAAGGAGCAAUCCGCUACAAGAUGGACCCGCGGCGCAUUAGCUAGUUGGUGAGGUAACGGCUCACCAAGGCGACGAUGCGUAGCCGACCUGAGAGGGUGAUCGGCCACAUUGGGACUGAGACACGGCCCAGACUCCUACGGGAGGCAGCAGUGGGGAAUAUUGCACAAUGGGGGGAAACCCUGAUGCAAAACCAACGCCGCGUGAGUGAUGACGGUCUUCGGAUUGUAAAGCUCUGUCUUCAGGGACGAUAAUGACGGUACCUGAGGAGGAAGCCACGGCUAACUACGUGCCAGCCGCUGC